rnacentral:lncRNA from 1 species
GGUGACCACGUCCUCCGGCUGGCGCAGCAGCAGGAAGAGCAGGAAGUCGGAGAUGAGCGCGUGGGCUUCGGGGUGCUGCCGCAGAUAGCUGGCGUGGCCGAGCCGGAGCUCCUCCUGGCAGGGGACAGAGCCCGAGCCUCAGCCGGACGGGACCCCCGCGCCCCAGGAGCCCCCAGCCGCUCGCUCCAAGGAGAGCUAAGGGGCGCUGGAGCCUUCUAGCCCCUACGGGUGUGCAUUUCAAUCAGUGCCUGGAGUGCAACACAACAUGUGAGAGUGAGAAUCUUCCCAGACCGCCUGCUAUGGACUGAAUUGUCUCUCUAACCCCCAGUGUGGUGGUAUUUGGAAAAGGCCAUGUGAGGACACAUUGAGAAGGCACUUGUCUGCAAGCUAGGAAGACAGCCCUCACCAGAAACCAACCCUGAUGGCACCAUGAUCUUGGACUUCCUGCCUUCCAGCAAAUAUAUUUCUCUUGAAGCCACCCAGCCUGUGGUGUUUUGUUAUGGCAGCCUAAGCAGACUCCUACAUGACAGUGCCCCU